rnacentral:rRNA from 1 species
AUCUACGGCUAUGCUGCCCUGAACAAGCCCAAUCCUGUCUGAUCUCGGAAGCUAAGCAGGGUUGGGUUUGGUUAGUACUUGGAUGGAAGACCACCUAGGAAGGUCAGGUCCUGUAGGAG